UGGGCGUAAGGGCUCGCAGGCGGUUUCUUAAGUCUGAUGUGAAAGCCCCCGGCUCAACCGGGGAGGGUCAUUGGAAACUGGGAAACUUGAGUGCAGAAGAGGAGAGUGGAAUUCCACGUGUAGCGGUGAAAUGCGUAGAGAUGUGGAGGAACACCAGUGGCGAAGGCGACUCUCUGGUCUGUAACUGACGCUGAGGAGCGAAAGCGUGGGGAGCGAACAGGAUUAGAUACCCUGGUAGUCCACGCCGUAAACGAUGAGUGCUAAGUGUUAGGGGGUUUCCGCCCCUUAGUGCUGCAGCUAACGCAUUAAGCACUCCGCCUGGGGAGUACGGUCGCAAGACUGAAACUCAAAGGAAUUGACGGGGGCCCGCACAAGCGGUGGAGCAUGUGGUUUAAUUCGAAGCAACGCGAAGAACCUUACCAGGUCUUGACAUCCUCUGACAACCCUAGAGAUAGGGCUUUCCCUUCGGGGACAGAGUGACAGGUGGUGCAUGGUUGUCGUCAGCUCGUGUCGUGAGAUGUUGGGUUAAGUCCCGCAACGAGCGCAACCCUUGAUCUUAAUUGCCAGCAUUCAGUUGGGCACUCUAACGUGACUGCCGGUGACAAACCGGA
rnacentral:rRNA from 1 species